CUAGCCGUAAACGAUGGGUACUAGGUGUGGGUGGUUUCGAUACCAUCCGUGCCGUAGUUAACGCAUUAAGUACCCCGCCUGGGGAGUACGUGCGCAAGCAUGAAACUCAAAGGAAUUGACGGGGACCCGCACAAGCAGCGGAGCAUGUGGUUUAAUUCGAAGCAACGCGAAGAACCUUACCAGGGCUUGACAUACUUUUGCAGGGUCUAGAGAUAGACCUGUUCUCUUUUGAGACGAAAGUACAGGUGG
rnacentral:rRNA from 1 species